rnacentral:rRNA from 1 species
AUGGCGAGCAGCGGCGACCCCGGAGUAUUUGGCGAGGCAUGCAUCAUCGGGCCAGAGAUCCGCCGCGUCCACGACUGGGUUCCCGAGGGGAUGGAGUUGCGGUUUGCUUUCUUGGUGCACAUUAGAAGGGAUAGGCAUUUGGACCUAGGAUGGCUGGUGCAACAUCUCGGGGAGAACCAAGUCGUCAUAAUGGCAGCUCUAGCCAGAACAGUUCAGUUGGUGCACGACAAUGUGGUGGCUCGACAAGCAAUUUAUGACAGGCACCUCGGGCUGAAAACCAAGAUGAGGCUUAGAAUGCAGUCCGUGUGGAUGAUGACGCAAAGGUACCUUUUUGCAUCCAUGACUGAGUGUAGAAAUGCACUUGUGCAAUACUGCAUCAAGGUAGAACAUACUUUCAAAGUUGACAAGAGCGAUCAAGUACGUUACAGAGUGCACUGUCCGACUGAGGGUUGUCCAUGGAGGAUGCUCGCAUCUAAAAUGCGAAAUAGCACGAAUGUUCAUGUCAAAGUAAACCCUUUUAAGCACACAUGCCAGGAAUCAACCCUUAAAAAGGAUACAAUCAGUAGAGCCAAGUCAAGAUGGGUGGCAGAACAAAUAAAGAAGUGGGUGGAAGAAAACCAACAAAUGGGUCCAAAGGAAUUGCAUAAGAACAUCAAAGACAAAUUCAAGAUAAAUUUACCAUACAUGAUGUUGUUCAAUGGUGAAGUGGAGAGGACCAGCCUAGGUAGUAUUGUAGAUAUUAACCACCACACCGUGGAGUACACAUUCGGGGGAGUAACAAAGACCAAUGAAUGCUUUAGGAGGGUUUUUGUCUGCUUUGAGGCUUGUCGCCGGGGUUUUUUGGCAGGCUGUAGGCCUUAUUUGGCUAUUGAUGCUACUUUUCUCACAGGAUAUCUGCUUCGUCUGGAGGUGGCCGGGAGCACACCCACGAGCACGCAGCCUCAACAAGGUAUGAACAUCAACACCCCACCUACCCAAUUAGCUUCGGGUGUCGGGUUGGGUGAUAGCCGAUGGGGUAAGGAGGAGGCUCCAUUAGUCGCUGAUGACGUCGCCAUGGAUGAGGAUGAGGAUGACGAUGGCACUCAACAGUAUGCCUAUCCUGGCACCUACUCAGGGUUUGAGCGUCAUGAGUCGGUGCCUGAAUUGCCGUCUCCGGAGGCUGAACGUAUCAUAGACGACCUUCCGGUAGCAAAGAAGUUUAGGAAGAGAGCGAGGAAAGGUUUGAAGAGAGCGGCAGGUAGACCAAGGAAGAGUCGAAUCAGACCUCGCAACAAAGGAGCUGGACUUGGAGCGAGGAAGCGUAAGUGCACAAGGUGUGGUGGGUCUGGUCAUUUCGGUAAGUAUUGUGAUAACACACUAGAUCCAGCGUUCGGAGAGAGUUUCGAUGAAGGCUUCGAUGAAAAUGUUGGUCAGCAGCCGGUUGCCUCAACAGAUGAUGAAAAUGAUGAUCAACAACCAGUUGCAUCAGAUGAGGAUUUUGACGAGGUUCCAAAUGAUGAUGGUCAACAGCCGCAUGAUUUUGACAAUGAUCCAAAAUAUCCUCCAAAUGAUGACUCAAGUGAGGCUCCAAAUGGUGAUCCAAAUGAGGCUCCAAAUGGUGAUCUAAAUGAGGCUUCAAAUGGUGAUCCAAGUGAGGCUCCAAAUAGUGACCAACCUUCUGUUGUUGUGAGUUCUGCUAGAUCUGCGGUAGGUUUGAAGAAGACGCGCAAGGUAGCGACAACCAAGAAGAGAAGAGAAGAAGAAGUGAGCACAAGGUGCACGAGGAACAAAGGCGCUGGAUGGACCGUUGGGCCGCCUCUUUGUCCGGGCCCGAGCGUAGUUAAUUUCCCAUUUCAGCCUUUCCAGGCCUGCAUGCAUGGGAAGGGCGGCGACGUGGGGAGGCGGACGUGCAUCCAUGCGAGCAAGGUGUAA